rfam:Edaphobacillus lindanitolerans strain MNA4 genome assembly, contig: Ga0116976_12
CCCGUGCUACAACCGCACCGACAAGGUGUUAAGCAUCCGCAACGGAUCGCCUUGAAGGGCGAGUCUUAGUCCAAGA